AUUGAACGCUGGCGGCAGGCCUAACACAUGCAAGUCGAACGAGUGGCGGACGGGUGAGUAAUGUCUGGGAAACUGCCCGAUGGAGGGGGAUAACUACUGGAAACGGUAGCUAAUACCGCAUACCAUCGGAUGUGCCCAGAUGGGAUUAGCUAGUAGGUGGGGUAACGGCUCACCUAGGCGACGACCCCUAGGUGGUCUGAGAGGAUGACAAGCCACACUGGAACUGAGACAGGGUCCAGACUCCUGGGGGAGGCAGAGGUGGGGAAUAUUGAACAAUGGGCGCAAGCCUGAGGCAGCCUGCCCGCGUGUAUGAAGAAGGCAUUCGGGUUGUAAAGUACUUUCAGCGAGGAGGCGUUACUCGCAGAAGAAGCACCGGCUAACUCCGUGCUAGCAGCCGCGGUAAUA
rnacentral:rRNA from 1 species